rnacentral:rRNA from 1 species
AUCCAGACUCCUACGGGAGGCAGCAGUGGGGAAUAUUGCACAAUGGGGGAAACCCUGAUGCAGCGACGCCGCGUGAGCGAUGAAGUAUUUCGGUAUGUAAAGCUCUAUCAGCAGGGAAGAAAAUGACGGUACCUGACUAAGAAGCCCCGGCUAACUACGUGCCAGCAGCCGCGGUAAUACGUAGGGGGCAAGCGUUAUCCGGAUUUACUGGGUGUAAAGGGAGCGUAGACGGCUGUGCAAGCCAGAUGUGAAAGCCCGGGGCUCAACCCCGGGACUGCAUUUGGAACUGUGUGGCUGGAGUGUCGGAGAGGCAGGCGGAAUUCCUAGUGUAGCGGUGAAAUGCGUAGAUAUUAGGAGGAACACCAGUGGCGAAGGCGGCCUGCUGGACGAUGACUGACGUUGAGGCUCGAAAGCGUGGGUAUCGAACAGGAUUAGAUACCCGAGUAUU